GCCGAGCCCGCCGCGGCGGCAGAAGCGCGUCCCCGCUCGGCGGCGGCUCCUCCCGCAGGGGAGGCGGCGCCGCCGCCGGUCCGGCGACAGGCACCCCCCCACGGCCGCCCCCCUCCCCGCCCGGGAAGGCCGGCACCAAGCCCGGGUCGCCCCUCACCGGGGCUGCUGCAGGAAGCAGGGCGGCCCUGCCGCCAGCGGAGGGACGGCCCCCCGCAGGGGAGGGGAGAGGGGACAGCGGCCGUGCCGCCGCCGCCGCUCCCCCAGCCCGGCGUCCCGCCGAGGCGGAGCUCGUCCCGCCUCCCCCGUGCCCGCCAGCCGCGCAGGCCCAGGCCCAGGCCCAGGCCCAGGCCGUAGCGGCAGGGCGGUACCUGCGCUGGAAGUCCUGCUCGAAGGGGGCCAGGCUUCCAACUGUUCUGUAAUGGAGACGUUGCCUGCUGUUGAAGUGGAAGGAGGAAGGCAGUUCCUGCAGUCUUUGAAUUCACUAGAACAGGAAAGAGGAGCUUCAUUCUCAAGCAAUUCACAGCACUGUUAUUAGCUGUUUGGUAUAAACACAGGAGAAGGAUUUAUAAAUCAGCGUUAGCAAUUUGUAUGAACAGUGGGAGUAUAGCUGUGACUUUUUAGCUCCCUGAAGACAGGGAGCCCUUCUCAACCUGAAGAUUUCUUAUUUGGAAGGUUUCCCGUAGAAAUGACAUGGUAUCCAGCCUUGUAUCCAAGCAACCUUGAACUUUAAGAAGUUAAAUUCAGAUACAAAUUCUGUAACUAACCCUUGUCCCUAUAACAGACCAACCCAAACACUAUAUUUAAUAUCCUGGGACUUGGGAAAUUGAUAACCAUAACAUUUGUAUCUGUUCAUGUUCCUGCUUACAACUUGGGCAUGAUUUUGUCUGCCUGGUUCCUCAAAAGUAACUCAGAGAUCCUAAGGCAUAUAUUAUUGUGAUCAUCUACUGUGACAUGAUCUAGCUGAGACCAAAAGGCCAAACUUGGCUCUGAGGACGCUAUCAUUGAGUCUGCUGUUGGCAGGCAAAAAUGGCAGUUCAGACAAUGAAUAUUGUCCCAACAGCGGAAUGCUUCUUUGUGCAUUUGUCACGGAUUGGUACAAAGCUGGCAGCUGCUGCUGACAGUAGAAAUAGGAAGAAGUGGACGGGUAGUCAUAACUGCUCUUUUGGGGGACAAGAACAGUAAAGCCUGUCUCUGGCUAAUUCCUAGACCUUCUGAGUCCCACAGCUGUUAGAUAGUUGUGAGAUGGGCAGCUACAGUGUGCCCAGCCAUCCCGGUUCUCAGAUUGCCCACACAGGAAUAUGGUGAGAGUUUGCUGAAGCUGUCUUCUAUUCUUCAGGGAGAGAAAGUGCAGUGGGCAAGUAUGAUGUGCACCCUGUUCUUUUCCCCAGUAUAGACAAAAUGGAGCAUUGCAAGAAUUCAUACCUGGAUACUAGGGUAUGCUCGCAAAUACCACAAAAUAGAGCCCUAUUCCAUUAGUUGUGCUUCAUUUUAGCUAUGGGCAGUCUAAACUUAUAGUUUAAUCUGUCUGAGAAGAGAUGGCAGGUACCAAAGACACAAAGGUACUUUUUAACUUUACUGUUGAGAACAUUUAAUAGUUACUGAUCUCCCAAAGUAACAAAUCCCGAGACAUGCCCUUCCUCUGUCUAAAUUCAGCACUUAAAGGCUAUAUGCUAGAUCCAUCAUCAUUUCAGUGCAGGCAGAAUGCCUCUCAAUUCCCUUUCCAUGAAAGCCUUUUUACAUGUGGUAAAAAAUACGGUUAGCCCACUUUGCUUGCUUGUGUGCAAGGAAAUGAAUGUAUUUUUUUAUUGCCUUUGCACCUUUUCUUAUAUCUUACAUAUAACAAGCAGUACAUGGGCAAAGGACUCAGAAACACAGGAAUGCAUUAGCUCUCCUGGAGACCUGUACUCUGCAAGAGGCACUAUAAAGAAAAAGCAUUUUUUUCCAGCGUAAAGAGGCAGCUGUUCAAAGAUACUUAGGUUUCAUGCUUCCAGUUGAAUGGAUUCUUGAAAGUGUCUCUGUGUCCUUUAGACAGUGUCACGUAGACAUCCGAGUCUGUUACAGUAUUUAAGCUUCCCACGUUUAGGCAGGUUUAUAUGUGUAUAUACACACAUACAAAUAUAAAUAUAUGUAAAUAUAUAAAUAUACUUACAAAGUGAAGUUCAAAUUUUGAAACAAAAGUAGCGUAUUCUACCACAGUGGCUAGCCACACCUACCCCCUAUUAUUUAUUCAAGAAUCUGUAAGAAAUUAAUUGUUCAAUCUUGACCCAGAUCCAAUACAAAUUUCUCCAUUAUAAAAAAAGAAAAUAUUUCUGUUAGCUUCUUAAUUAUCACUUCUCUUGAUAAUGUCAGCAGACAGGUCAAACAUUGAGUGAGAAUGGAGAUUAAACCAUCUACUUACCCCUCAUUUUGAAUUCUCUAGAGCUGAACUGAGACACACAGGGGGAAAAAAUGGGCAGUGCUGCACAGUAGCUCCCCAGUGUAUAACUAAAUAGCAUGUCACAGUUUCGUAAUUAAAACUGAGAUUUGCACUUCCAGCAAGAAUUCAACUAUAUGAUUACCUAUGAAGAAUAAAGAACAUAAUCUCAAAAAUUACAGGAAACAUUUGAAGAAUCCUUGAAGUAAUUGUGGUUUGGGUGGGGUUUUUUGGGUUUGGUUUGGUUUGAAGAAAAGUGAGGCAUUCAUUGAGAUAGUCUUUUAAGUCCUUACUUGUGCCAUGUUAAGGUAUCAAGAGCUUUAAAUAACAGCAACACAUAUCUUUAAAGAUGGAACUCAUGUGCAAUCUGGAAUACUAAAAAGCCAGUUUCAGAGCUGUCAGAUUCCACUAAAUGCACUUGAUGGGAAUGUCAUUUGCACUUACCCUGCAAAACAAAAUGAAACACAUUCCAGCUACAUAAGAGUCAUAGCUAAUGGGGGCUUCUUGCUUUCACAUUAUUGCAGUAUCAUUAUGAUUUGGUGGCAUUAUCUUGUCUAACAGAAUAUCACAUAAAUGUAAAUCUCUUUCAUAGUUAUUUAAAUGCUCAUAAAGACACUUUAAAGUGAUACCAAUUAAAAAAAUCAACAUGUCUAGAACAAUAACUUCUGUUGUAAAACUUUCUACAGUUAUGUAUAAAUCUCACUAAAAAAAAGGAUUUGAUUUAGCAGAGACUUUAGCUUCAAGUAAGGAGUUGGAAAACACUCCACAGAUGUAAGAAUACAGUAAACCUUUAGGAGUAUCAUAACAUUUUUGGACAUGAUGUAUACUGUGUUCUGUUUAUGCUUGUUAUAUGUAUUUUUCCAAAGCUGUUACUGCAGUAGUACUUUCUACAACUGCCAGUGCUGCUAUUAUCUGUCAUUUUCUUAUGCCUGUAUGUGUUGGGGGAAGAAGAGAAAACAUUUGGGAAUUUCUCCUUAAUGCCAUACUCACAAUAUUUAGUAAAUGUCACCUCUCCCUCUUACGAGUGUAUGUUUGUUUCUAACACUUAGGAAAUCAGUAGCCUGAGUUAUACAAUAUAAUGUCCCAGAGAAACAUUCCCGCUGUUACUGCCUUUGGUUUCUGUAACAUCGAUUGCUAUUAAACAUACAGGUUAUUAACCCUA